UACCAGCACCCCGAGUGGUUGGGACGUUUUAUUGGGCCUAAAGCAUCCGUAGCCGGUUCUACAAGUCUUCCGUUAAAUCCAGCUGCUUAACAGAUGGGCUGCGGAAGAUACUAUGGAGCUAGGAGGCGGGAGAGGCAAGCGGUACUCGAUGGGUAGGGGUAAAAUCCGUUGAUCCAUUGAAGACCACCAGUGGCGAAGGCGGCUUGCCAGAACGCGCUCGACGGUGAGGGAUGAAAGCUGGGGGGAGCAAACCGG
rnacentral:rRNA from 1 species